rnacentral:misc_RNA from 1 species
GAUGAAGAACGCAGCGAAAUGCGAUAAGUAAUGUGAAUUGCAGAAUUCAGUGAAUCAUCGAAUCUUUGAACGCAUCUUGCGCUCCUUGGUAUUCUGAGGAGCAUGCCUGUUUGAGUGUCAUUAAAUUCUCAACUACACUGACUUUGAAUUGGUGUGGCUUGGGUUUGGGGGGAAAAUUGUUGUGGGCUUUUUGUAUAGUCUGCUCCCCUGAAAUUGAUUAGCGGUACCUUUGUGGAACUGUCUACAGGUGUGAUAAUUAUCUACAUCUUAGACAUCUGCUGGAAUGCUGCUUUCUAAACCUUACUUGUAUUGACAAUCUUGACCUCAAAUCAGGUAGGACUACCCGCUGAACUUAAGCAUAUCAAUAAGCGGAGGA